rnacentral:rRNA from 1 species
GGGCCCGCACAAGCGGUGGAGUAUGUGGUUUAAUUCGAUGCAACGCGAAGAACCUUACCAGGGUUUGACAUCCUGCGAAUCUCUUGGAAACCGGAGGGUGCCUUCGGGAACGCAGUGACAGGUGGUGCAUGGCUGUCGUCAGCUCGUGUCGUGAGAUGUUGGGUUAAGUCCCGCAACGAGCGCAACCCACGUCUUUAGUUGCCAGCAUUUAGUUGGGCACUCUAGAGAGACCGCCGGUGACAAACCGGAGGAAGGUGUGGAUGACGUCAAGUCAUCAUGCCCCUUACGUCCUGGGCUACACACGUACUACAAUGUUACGGACAAAGAGCAGCUAACUCGCGAGAGUACGCAAAUCUCAUAAACCGUGGCUCAGUUCAGAUCGUAGGCUGCAACUCGCCUACGUGAAGGAGGAAUCGCUAGUAAUCGCAGGUC